AGUGAGCUUUUCGUCCAUGGAGAGCAGAUGGUGUUUUUGAAAGGAAGGGCAGCCAUUCCCGGGACUUUGGACUUGGCUCCGUUGCACCCCUGAACGUGGCUGCUGGGACAACAUUGGGACAUCCUUCUACUGAAGAUUCAGAUCUAGAAACCAAGGGGAAGAGACAAACAGGACACAGCCAAGUUCCCGUUCGUCAUGGUGCUUUGGAUGAAACGGGAACAUGUCUGCUUCCCCUAAACCAUCUUAUCAAUGAUAUAUCUUCAUGAGAAAAUUUUAAGGAAAAAAAAAUCAUGUUCUUUGGGUUCCUAUUCAUUAUAAGGACAGCUUUAACCAAACCGGUCACUGUAGAUGACUUUUAAUUUAAUAAAUAGAGCAGGGAAAAGGCUGUCAGCAACAUGACCUUUUCUGGUUACCUAAGAUUGUAAGACCAAGAGCCUUCUGACUAAAAGGGCCUG
rnacentral:lncRNA from 1 species